CCUGAAUUAUUAAUAGAUAUAGUCUUUAAAUUUGAAGAAUUUGGCGGUGAUUUAGUCUUGUUAGAGGAACCUGUCUUUGGAUCGAUAUUCCACGUAGAAUUUUACUUGUUUUAUUAGUUUGUAUACCGUCAUUAUCAGAUAAUUUUAAAAGAAUAAAUUAUUAAAAUUUCUCAAAAGAAAUGAAAUUAGAUCAAGGUGCAGCUUAUGAAUAAGUUAAGAUGGGUUACAAUAAGAUUUACUUAUAUGAAAUAAUAAUAGGAAGUUAUAUUAUGAAGGCGGAUUUAAUUGUAAUAAAAAUUUAAUAAGUUUAAAAAAUAUGAGCUCUAAAUCAU
rnacentral:rRNA from 1 species